UCCAAAAAAGCACCGGUCUGCAGAUGUCUGCAAGAGAAUCAACAAACCCUCCUUCUUCUACGGCAGGGCAGGGGACGUAUUCACUGGGAGCUUUAGGAUAAUGCAUUUGUGGAGACUGGAACUGAAAAUGUUAAUACUGUUGUAAGGUUUUUUCCUCUGUGGACUGAGAAAGCAAGGCCCUUUCCAGGACACAAGAGAUUUGGACUGGACUUUUGUAAAAUAAGAAAUGUACCAAUUUCAACAAAACCUUUUCAGUUUCAGGAAGGAUCUUCUCGUUAAAAAUGAACAAACCUUAGAACACCCAACUGGCCAGUGGAUGUGUAUAAAGUAAGAGAGCGCAAAGACUUCUGGAAAAGCACACCCCACUAACCCAGCUGCACUGAAGACUAGGCUGGCAGCAGGUCCAUCCAUGCAGCGGCCACUGACUAUCAAAGCCAAUUGUUACCAAAGUGACAACGAAGAGAUCAGUCCUGCAUCUGCUGAAGCCAAUAGGAGGAAACAGAAAAUAAAUAAAUAAAUAAAUAAUAAAUAAUAAAUAAAUAA